rnacentral:rRNA from 1 species
UACGGAGGGAGCUAGCGUUGUUCGGAAUUACUGGGCGUAAAGCGCACGUAGGCGGCUUUGUAAGUUAGAGGUGAAAGCCCGGGGCUCAACUCCGGAACUGCCUUUAAGACUGCAUCGCUUGAAUCCAGGAGAGGUGAGUGGAAUUCCGAGUGUAGAGGUGAAAUUCGUAGAUAUUCGCAAGAACACCAGUGGCGAAGGCGGCUCACUGGCCCGGUACUGACGCUGAGGUGCGAAAGCG